CAAUAUGGCGACGACAACGAGAACGAAUUGACGUGCGGGUGUGUUACGUCUUGUCCCUCGGUGAAAAAACCAGCAACAAACUUGAAAGUCGUGGUGACGUGAUAACAAUAAGAUAGUAAAGGAUUAAGAAGUGGAUUAAGGAAUAUCAAAGUGCAGUCCAUAGACACUCAGUCAUGCAAUUAUAAACAGAUUAGUUCGCCCCUGGCUAUGAUAAUGUCACCGCAAACUGCGUCCACGAUUGCGAAAACGAUGGAGUCGAUUUUCGACAAUGCUGUAACUACGCAACAUACUUCAAGCAUGGCUAAGAAUUGUCUUCAGGAUUAACUUCCCGGCGCGACCUCAUAAGCCACGGUUAAUUAGAAGCCCACAGCAUCCAGCUUGCGGUCCAGAUAUGCACGCCUCAACUUUCAGCACCGUACUCUCCUCCUUGGUCCAGCCUCGAUCCUGAUCUUGCAGAUGCCUGACAGCGGACGAACGAAGGAUCUACGGAGACAAUGAAAAGUUAUUUUUCAAAAGCGUCGAAAUACCGAAGAAAAUCUUCUUAUAUCCGGGGAAAUAAGAAUUUGGCCAGGCUAAGAGGAUUUCACGUGUUCGCCUACUGGAUCGGACGGCUUUUGCAGUGGCAAAUGUUGGAAUUGCGGAAAUCCGAGAUGCCAUAAUUUCAUCAGGCCCUUACAGUCUACGGAGUAAAGCGACAGGUCGGCCAGUGAGCGGACGAAGUGGCCAGCUGUAA